rnacentral:rRNA from 1 species
ACGAAUUCACUAGUGAUUCAGGCCUAACACAUACAAAAUAAAACGAACCCUUCUGGGUGAGCGGCGGACGUGUGAGUAACGCGUGAGUAACCUUCCCUAUACACACGGAUAACGUACCGAAAGGUACGCUAAUACGAGAUAACAUAUUUUUAUCACAUGGUAGAAAUAUCAA